UACGAAGGGUGCAAGCGUUACUCGGAAUUACUGGGCGUAAAGGGUGCGUAGGUGGUCGUUUAAGUCCGUUGUGAAAUCCCUGGGCUCAACCCUGGAAGUGCACUCGAUACUGGCUCGCUAGAGUACUGGAGAGGUUGGUGGAAUUCUCGGUGUAGAGGUGAAAUUCGUAGAUAUCGAGAGGAACACCGGUGGCGAAGGCGGCCAACUGGACAGAUACUGACGCUGAGACACGAAAGCGUGGGGAGCAAACAGG
rnacentral:rRNA from 1 species